GACGAACGCUGGCGGCGUGCUUAACACAUGCAAGUCGAACGGAAAGGCCCUGCUUUUGUGGGGUGCUCGAGUGGCGAACGGGUGAGUAACACGUGAGUAACCUCCCCUUGACUUUGGGAUAACUUCAGGAAACUGGGGCUAAUACCCGAUAGGAGCUCCUGCUGCAUGGUGGGGGUUGGAAAGUUUCGGCGGUUGGGGAUGGACUCGCGGCUUAUCAGCUUGUUGGUGGGGUAGUGGCUUACCAAGGGUUUGACGGGUAGCCGGCCUGAGAGGGUGACCGGCCCCAUUGGGACUGAGCUACGGCCCAGACUCGUACGGGAGGCAGCAGUGGGGAAUAUUGCACAAUGGGCCGAAGCCUGGUGCAGCAACGCCGCGUGUGGGAUGACGGCCUUCGGGUGGUAAACCGCUUUCGCCUGUGACGAAGCGUGAGUGACGGUAAUGGGUAAAGAAGCACCGGCUAACUACGUG
rnacentral:rRNA from 1 species